rnacentral:rRNA from 1 species
AAUCAACGCUGGCGGCGUGCCUAACACAUGCAAGUCGAGCGAGAAAAGGGGAGCAAUCCCCUGAGUACAGCGGCGCACGGGUGAGUAACACGUGGGUAAUCUGCCCUGGAGUGGGGAAUAACACCGGGAAACCGGUGCUAAUACCGCAUACGAUCACAGAGUCUGCGGCUUUUGUGAUGAAAGGAGCAAUUCGCUCUAGGAGGAGCCCGCGGCUGAUUAGCUAGUUGGUGAGGUAAUGGCUCACCAAGGCAACGAUCAGUAUCCGGUCUGAGAGGACGGUCGGACACACUGGAACUGAGACACGGUCCAGACUCCUACGGGAGGCAGCAGUGGGGAAUUUUUGGCAAUGGGGGCAACCCUGACCAAGCAACGCCGCGUGGGUGAUGAAGUCUCUUGGGACGUAAAACCCUUUCGACGGGGACGAAACCGUAAGGUUGACGGUACCCGUAGAAGAAGCCCCGGCUAACUCCGUGCCAGCCGCCGCUGUAA